GUUAGCUUAGCGUAGCAUAAACUUUGGAAAUGGGGAAACAGCUAGACUGGCUCGGUGCUUGUGUAAAAACAGCC